GGGGCCGGCGAUGCGUCCUGGU
rnacentral:siRNA from 1 species